rnacentral:rRNA from 1 species
AUUGAACGCUGGCGGCAUGCUUUACACAUGCAAGUCGAACGGCAGCGCGGGCUUCGGCCUGGCGGCGAGUGGCGAACGGGUGAGUAAUACAUCGGAACGUGCCCAGUAGUGGGGGAUAGCUCGGCGAAAGCCGGAUUAAUACCGCAUACGACCUGAGGGUGAAAGCGGGGGAUCUUCGGACCUCGCGCUAUUGGAGCGGCCGAUGGCAGAUUAGCUAGUUGGUGGGGUAAAGGCCUACCAAGGCGACGAUCUGUAGCUGGUCUGAGAGGACGACCAGCCACACUGGGACUGAGACACGGCCCAGACUCCUACGGGAGGCAGCAGUGGGGAAUUUUGGACAAUGGGCGAAAGCCUGAUCCAGCAAUGCCGCGUGUGUGAUGAAGGCCUUCGGGUUGUAAAGCACUUUUGGCGGGAACGAAAAGGACUGUGCCAAUACCACGGUUCGAUGACGGUACCCGCAGAAUAAGCACCGGUUAACUACGUG